AACUGACACUCUCCAACGGUAGCAAGUCUUGCUCCGACAUUUGGACGUGGUGCCAUGAC
rfam:Shewanella baltica OS195, complete genome.